AUCCAGCUGACGAGUCUCGAAAAUAGGACGAAACGCGCGUCCUGGAU
rnacentral:hammerhead_ribozyme from 1 species